CAGCAGCCGCGGGGAUACAGAGGGUGCGAGCGUUAAUCGGAUUUACUGGGCAUAAAGCGUGCGUAGGCGGUUUGUUAAGUCUGCUGUGAAAUCCCCGGGCUCAACCUGGGAAUGGCAGUGGAUACUGGCAAGCUAGAGUGUGUCAGAGGAUGGUGGAAUUCCCGGUGUAGCGGUGAAAUGCGUAGAGAUCGGGAGGAACAUCAGUGGCGAAGGCGGCCAUCUGGGACAACACUGACGCUGAGGCACGAAAGCGUGGGGAGCAAACAGGAUUAGAUACCCCGGUAGUCCCUGUCUCUUAUAC
rnacentral:rRNA from 1 species